CUCAGCGGUUGGCGUACUUCUCCCUGGCGGGCGGAGUAAUCACGCAUAGCUGUCAUCAGACGCUGCAAGAUUUCCGAAGCCCGCAUAAUGCGGGCUUUUUUGU
rfam:Rahnella aquatilis CIP 78.65 = ATCC 33071, complete genome.